UUUUGAGAAGUAUCCAUAUUUUUAAAGAGAGAUUUAGCUAACUUUGGAAGUCCGAGAUUUAUUUCGGAUCUUCCGUAACCCUAUAUUGUGUAUCACGUCUAUAUAUAAAAAAAAUCUCAUUCUGGAACCCUAAUUUUCACUUUUAUUAACGACAACUUAUUUUCUCAUUACUCCAUUGAUGUUCAUGCUCCUGAUGUCGUCGCCGUCUCUGAUCAAGGAACUAUGUAUGUCUUCGUUUAUCUCUUGCAGUAUCUUUACCCUCGACAAAAACAUCCCCUGAUUAUUUUCGCUGGAUGGGAUCACGGCUGAAAUUAGUAAUUGUUAGCGUUUUGUGUUUGUAUUUGUGUUUGUGUUUACGUUUCCCUUUCUGUUUUUCUGAAUUGAUUUCUUGAAUUUUAUUUUAUUUUAUUUUUUUAUUUGUUUUAGGUUUUGAUUUGUGAGAUUUAAAAUAACACUAGCAACAGAAAAACCUACCGCAGAUGAAGCUACUGGAAAACAAAAUAUGUGAGUUUUGAUACGAGAAUCAGAAACAAACCGUUACUGUAUGUUUAUAAAUCCUCUCCUUUGACAUUUUCUUUUUGGGUGUCUUAAUCAUAUUCCAAUCCGAUUCUAACUGUAUUCCAAAUUUUUCAUUAAUAAGAUUUUAUGUAUGAAGUUCUGUAGAAAGAGCUAAAGAAAUGCUUAAUGAUGAGGUUCUGAAUUGUUCGUAACUCAGGUUUACUGAAUUGUUUUAAAAUCUUGAAAUCAUUUUUCUCUGUGUUAUUCGCUUUUCAUCUUUUGAGUUUUGGUGCCUUUUGCUGAUUUUCAGGAAGCUAUUUUAGUUGUUUAAUAGUUGUUGAAAGUCCUUACAAAAGUUGGGCAGCACGAUGAUGUGAUAAGGCCACAACUUGGAUCUUUAUUUCUGGAAUGGCUUCUUUUUUAGGGCAUGAUCGUAUGAUUGCACGUGGUUGCUGCACUCUUCCCAAAAGAAUGGCCAAAAUGAAGACAUGAAGUUACGUUGGGCAAUGAGUUGUAACAAAAUUUUAGAAUGUUAUUUUAAAUAACUUAAUUUCUGCAUAUACCACUUGAUUAAGUUAAUAUAUUAGUACCAAUUAUAGAAGUGCACUUGAGCAUGUGCUUUCAAAGCAUUUAACAAGCAUUUUAACAACAUUUAACAAAAUGCAUGCUUCUUUAGUACCUACCAGUAGAAGAUAUAGAUGUUUUUAUGUUACAUUUGCAUUGUUGACAAAUUUUCGGUUUUAGGUAAAUUUAGCAUAGU